UGUCCAGGCACACACUGCCGGGGUGUC
rnacentral:piRNA from 1 species